UACGGAGGAUGCGAGCGUUAUCCGGAUUUAUUAGGUUUAAAGGGUGUGUAGGCGGAAAAUUAAGUCAGUGGUGAAAUCUCACAGCUCAACUGUGAAACUGCCAUAGAUACUGGUUUUCUUGAGUACAGUUGAAGUAGGCGGAAUGUGUAAUGUAGCGGUGAAAUGCAUAGAUAUUACACAGAACACCGAUUGCGAAGGCAGCUUGCUAAGCUGUUACUGACGCUGAUGCACGAAAGCGUGGGGAGCGAACAGG
rnacentral:rRNA from 1 species